AGGUGGUGCAUGGUUGUCGUCAGCUCGUGUCGUGAGAUGUGGGUUAAGUCCCGCAACGAGCGCAACCCCUAUUGCUAGUUACCAUCAUUAAGUUGGGGACUCUAGCGAGACUGCCAGUGAUAAACUGGAGGAAGGUGGGGAUGACGUCAAAUCAUCAUGCCCCUUAUGACCUGGGCUACAAACGUGAUACAAUGGCUGGAACAAAGGGAUGCGAAGCAGUGAUGUGGAGCGAAACCCAUAAAAACAGUCUCAGUUCGGAUUGAAGUCUGCAACUCGACUUCAUGAAGUCGGAAUCGCUAGUAAUCGCGGAUCAGAACGCCGCGGUGAAUACGUUCUCGGGGUUU
rnacentral:rRNA from 1 species